rnacentral:lncRNA from 1 species
ACAUGAUCAGCUACAAUGUUCCACCCCUCCUUAUCACCCAGCUACCCAUCCAUCCGCAGACCUCUCUCCCCAGUGUCAUGGAGCUGUGGCAGAAGGCUUCCUCCUGCAGGCCACUCCACCUCCCCAGAUUCCCUGCCCAGGACCAAGCUAGAUGAGGCCUCAAGUUAGACAUGUCCCCACGCUCCACAGCAACCACUGACAGCUAUCUUUGAGACACAUUCCUUACUCAGAGCCCUUUCUAAGCCACCGACCAAGUCCCAAGAGACCCUCUCCACCUCCUUCCCCACCUUGUAGAGGGACAGGGCAGUGCAGUCUGGUCCCUCGGUUCCUCAUCUGUGACAUGAGAUAAAGUGAAGCCACAGCCUCCUCCUGGAGGAGACAGAAGCAGAGGAAAUGCCUGCUGGUGCCCAGAGAGGCUGGAUAACAUUGCCAAAGCCACACAGAGGACUAAAGAGAGAGGCUGGAGCAGGAAGACAGGGUGCAGAAGCAUUUGGACACAUAAAUUAGGUCAGCCGCCGGGGGCCAGG